GAUAGCUCAAUGGUGGAGCAACCGGCUGUUAACCGGUAGGUUGCAGGUUCGAGUCCUGCUC
rnacentral:tRNA from 1 species